rnacentral:rRNA from 1 species
AGAGUUUGAUCCUGGCUCAGGAUGAACGCUGGCGGCGUGCUUAACACAUGCAAGUCGAACGAACCUUCGGGUUAGUGGCGGACGGGUGAGUAACGCGUGGGAACCUGCCCUCAGGAGGGGGAUAACGGUUGGAAACGGCCGCUAAUACCCCAUAUGCCGAGAGGUGAAAUGAAUUUCGCCUGAGGAUGGGCCCGCGUCUGAUUAGCUAGUUGGUGGGGUAAGAGCCUACCAAGGCGACGAUCAGUAGCUGGUCUGAGAGGAUGAUCAGCCACACUGGGACUGAGACACGGCCCAGACUCCUACGGGAGGCAGCAGUGGGGAAUUUUCCGCAAUGGGCGAAAGCCUGACGGAGCAACGCCGCGUGAGGGAUGAAGGCCUCUGGGCUGUAAACCUCUUUUCUCAAGGAAGAAGACCUGACGGUACUUGAGGAAUAAGCCACGGCUAAUUCCGUGCCAGCAGCCGCGGUAAUACGGGAGUGGCAAGCGUUAUCCGGAAUUAUUGGGCGUAAAGCGUCCGCAGGUGGCCCUGUAAGUCUGUCGUUAAAGCGUGGAGCUUAACUCCAUUUAAGCGAUGGAAACUACAGGGCUAGAGUGUGGUAGGGGCAGAGGGAAUUCCCGGUGUAGCGGUGAAAUGCGUAGAUAUCGGGAAGAACACCAGUGGCGAAGGCGCUCUGCCGGGCCAUCACUGACACUCAUGGACGAAAGCCAGGGGAGCGAAAGGGAUUAGAUACCCCUGUAGUCCUGGCCGUAAACGAUGAACACUAGGUGUCGGGGGAAUCGACCCCCUCGGUGUCGUAGCCAACGCGUUAAGUGUUCCGCCUGGGGAGUACGCACGCAAGUGUGAAACCCAAAGGAAUUGACGGGGGCCCGCACAAGCGGUGGAGUAUGUGGUUUAAUUCGAUGCAACGCGAAGAACCUUACCAGGGUUUGACAUCCUGCGAAUCCCUUGGAAACGAGGGAGUGCCUUCGGGAGCGCAGAGACAUGUGGUGCAUGGCUGUCGUCAGCUCGUGUCGUGAGAUGUUGGGUUAAGUCCCGCAACGAGCGCAACCCACGUCGUUAGUUGCCAGCAUUCAGUUGGGCACUCUAGCGAGACCGCCGGUGAUAAACCGGAGGAAGGUGUGGAUGACGUCAAGUCAUCAUGCCCCUUACAUCCUGGGCUACACACGUACUACAAUGCUACGGACAAAGGGCAGCGAUCCCGCGAGGGCUAGCAAAUCCCAUAAACCGUGGCUCAGUUCAGAUCGUAGGCUGCAACUCCCUACGUGAAGGAGGAAUCGCUAGUAAUCGCAGGUCAGCAUACUGCGGUGAAUACGUUCCCGGGCCUUGUACACACCGCCCGUCACACCAUGGAAGUUGGCCACGCCCGAAGUCGUUACUCCAACCCUUGUGGAGGAGGACGCCGAAGGUGGGGCUGAUGACUGGGGUGAAGU